GACGAACGCUGGCGGCGUGCUUAACACAUGCAAGUCGAACGGAAAGGCCCUGCUUUUGUGGGGUGCUCGAGUGGCGAACGGGUGAGUAACACGUGAGUAACCUGCCCUUGACUUUGGGAUAACUUCAGGAAACUGGGGCUAAUACCGGAUAGGAGCUCCUGCUGCAUGGUGGGGGUUGGAAAGUUUCGGCGGUUGGGGGUGGACUCGCGGCUUAUCAGCUUGUUGGUGGGGUAGUGGCUUACCAAGGCUUUGACGGGUAGCCGGGCUGCGAGGGUGACCGGCCACAUUGGGACGGAGAUACGGCCCAGACUCCUACGGGAGGCAGCAGUGGGGAAUAGUGCACAAUGGGCUGAAGCCUGAUGCAGCAACGCCGCGUGCGGGAUGACGGCCUUCGGGUUGUAAACCGCUGUCGCCUGUGACGAAGCGUGAGUGACGGUAAUGGGUAAAGAAGCACCGGCUAACUACGUG
rnacentral:rRNA from 1 species